rnacentral:rRNA from 1 species
UAAGCGGAGGAAAAGAAACCAACAGGGAUUGCCCCAGUAACGGCGAGUGAAGCGGCAACAGCUCAAAUUUGAAAUCUGGCCCCCCGGGGCCCGAGUUGUAAUUUGCAGAGGAUGCUUUUGGCGAGGCGCCUUCCGAGUUCCCUGGAACGGGACGCCACAGAGGGUGAGAGCCCCGUCUGGUUGGAUGCCGAGCCUCUGUAAAGCUCCUUCGACGAGUCGAGUAGUUUGGGAAUGCUGCUCUAAAUGGGAGGUAUAUGUCUUCUAAAGCUAAAUAUUGGCCAGAGACCGAUAGCGCACAAGUAGAGUGAUCGAAAGAUGAAAAGCACUUUGAAAAGAGGGUUAAAUAGUACGUGAAAUUGUUGAAAGGGAAGCGCUCAUGACCAGACUUGGGCCCGGUGAAUCAUCCAGCGUUCUCGCUGGUGCACUUUGCCGGGCUCAGGCCAGCAUCAGUUCGCCCCGGGGGAGAAAGGCUCUGGGAAUGUGGCUCCUCCGGGAGUGUUAUAGCCCUCUGCGCAAUGCCCUGGGGCGGACUGAG